CUGUAGAGUUAGCUUGAAGGGAUAUAUUUGAACUAUAAAUGAAUUACCAAGAAUUACUUCUCGGUCUAAAUCUUUUACAAGAUAAAAUAUAUUUUUAAAACAAGUGUUCGAAUUAAAAACACGAGCUUUUGAAAUAUGCCACUUAAUUCAUUAUUUUGCUACCCUUGAAAGUGUUUUAGAGCAUUUUAAUAUGUCUUUUGAUGUUGUGAUAUAUGCUAAUGAAAUUGAAAGAAAUAAGCAAAAGUUGGCGAAAUUAGAGGAAAAUGCCAAAUUGUAAGAGAUCCAAAGUUUGGGGACGAAAAUGCAAAUAAUCAAAAGUUAUGGUGAACCUCGUAAUGAAGAUCUAAGAGCACUAGGAGUCAAUUGGAUAAAAAAAGACAUAAAAUGGAUCAAAUUUAGUCAAAAUAUGAUCACAAAUCAAUUUCCAACUGAAAAGUUAUGCUUCGAAAUUUUAGUCUCAUAUUGAGACCCACUUUCGACAUAUCAAUGAUCGAAUUGGAGAAUAAUGUCUGAAUCAAAGUUUUAGAACUUUGAAUUAGCUUUCCAAUUCAUCUUGAAUCACCUCAAUUAAAUAUCAGGAGAAAACAUUAUGCAAAAAAGCUUAAAGAUGCACAAUUUGUCUUUUCGGCCGAAUCAUGGCGCAAGGUGCUGACUAUGCAGGAAAAGGCUUUUCGAUGUUUUUGGACUCUUAUUUUGGUCCAACUCAACCCUAAUUCAUCCAAAAACUUUAAGAUACUAUAAAUAUCAUUCAAAAGACCUAUUUUCUCCAACAUUUGAAGUGGACAAGAAUGAAGAAUUCAACCACACAAUUUGAAGGAGAUCAAAAUUGAAGACACCAAAAGAAAACAAGAACUUCAAGGAAGAAAAUUGAAGAUCUACCCAAAAGACUAGUUUUUCUAUCAUUUUCCUUAUGUUAUUUAUUAUGAAUUCUAUGAAUUUCAUGUUCCAUAUCAUGAACUAAAUAAUUUAUCUAGGGUUUGAUGUAGCCAACUUGAGAUUAUGAUUUGAUGAUUCUAUAAUUAUUU
rnacentral:lncRNA from 1 species